GGUGGUCUCUGGAGGCCUUAGAGGGAGGGGAGGGCUUUAGGAAUUCCCGCUAAACGACAUCUAUACAGAGCCUUUCUGCUGACACGGGCCAGCAAGUGGUUAAUAUCAAAAAGCAGACAUCUGAAGAGGCACUGACACCCUCCCACUCACAGAAGGUGAGGCCAGAGGAGCUCCGUGCUGCUAGGAGAUCCAGGCAGAAACAUCCAGGAGUGGAAGCUCAGCCCAGCGGCUGGGAGGCUGUGGCACCUCCUGUCCACAUGGCAGGCCAGGCCGAGGUGGGCUGGCUACACAGUGGGGCU
rnacentral:lncRNA from 1 species